CAGUCGCCACGGUAAUACGAAGGGGGCUAGCGUUGUUCGGAUUUACUGGGCGUAAAGCGCACGUAGGCGGAUCCUUAAGUCAGAGGUGAAAUCCCAAGGCUCAACCUUGGAACUGCCUUUGAUACUGGGGAUCUCGAGUUCGGGAGAGGUGAGUGGAACUGCGAGUGUAGAGGUGAAAUUCGUAGAUAUUCGCAAGAACACCAGUGGCGAAGGCGGCUCACUGGCCCGAUACUGACGCUGAGGUGCGAAAGCGUGGGGAGCAAACAGGAUUAGAUACCCCAGUAGUCCCUGUCUCUUAUAC
rnacentral:rRNA from 1 species